CUGUGUCGCUGUGUCGCUGUGUCCCUAUGGGCAGUCGGCGUGUCGCGUAAUUACAAUUGCGAACAAAGUAAACGAGCGCGUGAAACGGCGUCCAGCCGGAGUUUCUGUUUGAACAGCAAACAGGGACGCGGGCGACGAUCGACGUGAAAAAUCGGCCGGCGUUUAUCAACGGGUAGCAACCAUUUCCAAGACUUUCCAAGGCGGUGUAGUUCUGAUCGUGUGACUGCGUCAGAGAAAGAAAGAGAGAAUUCAUGAAUUCGCAGCAAGGAAGAAGCUUCAAAGAACGCUUACAAUCACGCUUACACUUUAUACCUCGUGCAAUAUUGCGGUUCCCCAAAACGAAGGAAUGAAAAAAUACGCGAGAGAAGAAAUUUGAGGUUAGGUCUGGUUAGAAUCUUGCCAGAAAGAAAGAAGUGCUCCUGUUCUAUUCUUCAUUCGGUGUACGGCGAUUCCACUUGGGUGGAAGAAGGAGAUGAGAGAGAAAUUCGUCUGGCCGUUUAUCGGUGCAAGAGGAAUGGUGGCUCGUAGCCGGCGGCUAAGAGAGAAUUCUGGGGGAUCGGCUUCCCCUUCAUCUCCUGUGUUCGCUGUCUCUCUUCUUGCUCCUCUUUUCCUCCCGCCCUUUUCUUUUUUUCAACUGUGUCGUUUGAAACAUCGCAACCGGAGGCGACGGAUGCGCGAACGAACGCACAAGGAUCGACACGACGCGGCGCGGUGAAACGUGGAAAUAUGUAAAGUAUAGCGAACGGAUGAACGACCGAGACGGUAGUGGAUGCGUCGUCAUGUUGCUGCUCGUUUUCAAAAGGACAGCAACUGCCUUCGUGCUCCGGCGUUGCUCGCGAAUACUCGCCUUCAAUUGGAAUUUUUAAUCUCGAGCACUUUUGUUUUUUGGCUUCAUCGAGUUUUGGAGAAAUAAAUAGAAGAACGAGAUAUGUUAGAAUGUAUGUAAUAAUAAUUUUUUUCUAGUGGCAAAAUUUUUUCAGAUAGACGGGGUAUGGAGUUAUACUAAGGUUCGAUGGAGAGGAAGUUAAUUUUAUUGCAUAAUCUGUUACUCUGGUUGCAUAUGCGUACUAACUAUUGUGUUGGUGCGACUGAAUCUGGACAAAUAAUACAUGGAAUGAAACAAGGAAAGAGACCUGGAUAAGCGAAUGAGACGUGGCAAUUAAUUAGGCUCUAGGAAAUUAAUCGAUUUUCAACUUUCACGCGUAGAGUUGUAACAAAAGCAGGAAAAAUGUAUAGGAUCACCUUGGAUCCCGACUCGAGGACAAGAAAUACGCCAGGAUCCACCGAUAUUUGUACCCCUGUCGAUUCGAGACAGGGGGUUUGCGGUUGAUAAAUGACGAAACAAGGAAGAAACGAAGUUGGGGGCGAGUUCCCCAUUGAAAACAUUACGUUCACUGCUGGUUGAAAGGCGUCGACGUCUCGUUGCGCCUCGUAAAUUGCGAAAAGCUCGCAAAGAUGCGCGCUGCACGCUGUCUGCCAUCCUCUUUCAUUUCCCGCGACUUUGUCCCACCCGUUCCGCGUUUCACCGAUACAUUCGCACGCUCCAUUCAACAGAGAGUUUUCAUAAAACCGAAUUUUGUUGGUCGACGGAUACAUUCUUUCUCCCGUCCCCCCCCUUUUUUUUUCUAUAAUAGUCUCGCGUGGACGAAUGUUCUGCUUUAACGAGGAAGUUAAAUUUCGUCGCCGGCACGUAUGAAUUUAAAUACAUUUCCAUGGGAAUGUUCUGAAGUUUCCUGUGUUUUUUUUCUCUCUUUUUCUUUUUCUUUUUUUUUUUUCUUCUUCUAGCGACGUUGUAGUAAAUUUCGAAUUAAGCAAGAGACGAAAUUAAUAAACUGUCUGCCCGUUUAGAAGUUUCUGAAACUACGAAAAGUGAGGGAGGGCAAAGGGAAAUAUGAUUCUGUAUAGAAGAGAGGUCGGUGAACCGCGCGACGGGGGAAAGGAUUCAAUAGUUUCGCCCUCCCCGCCGGUGUGGCCGUGUGAUCGUUUUCAGUUGAGAAGAUUUGUUGGCGGAUAGGACGGAUUACACCGGAGUACCGAAUAACUUAGCCGCGAGUCGUCGUUUCGUUUCCCCGUUUUCGCGAGACAAUGUCGUCCGCGCGACAAAAUGCUUGUGUAUACAAGCGCGGAGUUCGCGAUUCCUAUUAAAUAAACUGCAGACCCGCGUGCUGCUGCAUUUAAGCGAACGAACGCGUCUGGCUGUUUUGUCCCGUUAAUGGCGCAACGCCGCUUUUGUACAACGCACGCAAGAACGAGCACCGCCUUCCUUCCUCCUCUUGCCUUUCGCCUCAUUCCGCGCUUUUCCAAGCUUUGCCAGUCGGCGGGACCACGUUUCGCUUAUGGAUUUCGCCAGGGUUCGAACGAGGGGGCGCACCAACCCAACCAGGCGUGUGUGUCGGACAAAUGAGGGUGGAGAAGGCUUAGAGUGGCUCGCACCAGGGGAGGAGAGUAUUUCGUGCUUUGAAGCCGCUUCCCGGGCCGGAGGAAUGCGUUUAAAAGUUUGCCAACAGCGAGAGUUUAUCGAAGCAUUCGGGAACACCUGGUGUUUUGUAGUUAUACACGUAUAUCCUCGGAUCGAGACUCUCGAAGAAAAGAAUUCCAAGUUAACGGGGUAUUUUGGUAA